rnacentral:misc_RNA from 1 species
AACUUUCGACAAUGGAUCACUUGGCUCUCGCAUCGAUGAAGAACGCAGCGAAAUGCGAUGCGUAAUGUGAAUUGCAGAAUUCAGUGAAUCAUCGAAUCUUUGAACGCACCUUGCGCCCCUUGGCAUUCCGAGGGGCACACCCGUUUGAGUGUCGUGAAAUUCUCAAAAACCUUUCUUUGGAAGGGAUUUUGGACUUGGAGGCCUUUUGCUGGUUUCACCUCGAAGCGAGCUGCUCCCAAAUGGAUUAGAGGGAUCCGCUUUGCCGAUCCUUGACGUGAGAAGAUGUUUCUACGUCUUGGGUUUGGCACUGUCUCUCGGGCACCCGCUUCUAACCGUCUUGUCGACAACGAUGGCGUUCCGGUCGCCACCGUUUCAUCGGUGGGAGGCUUGACCCACCAAAAAACCUUAACCUCAAAUGGGGUGAGACUACCCGCUGAACUUAAGCAUAUCAAUAAGCGGAGGCU